AUUGAACGCUGGCGGCAGGCCUAACACAUGCAAGUCGAAUGGUAACAGGAAACAGCUUGCUGUUUCGCUGACGAGUGGCGGACGGGUGAGUAAUGUCUGGGAAACUGCCUGAUGGAGGGGGAUAACUACUGGAAACGGUAGCUAAUACCGCAUAACGUCGCAAGACCAAAGAGGGGGACCUUCGGGCCUCUUGCCAUCGGAUGUGCCCAGCUGGGAUUAGCUAGUAGGUGGGGUAACGGCUCACCUAGGCGACGAUCCCUAGCUGGUCUGAGAGGACGACCAGCCACACUGGAACUGAGACACGGUCCAGACUCCUACGGGAGCCAGCAGUGGCGAAUAUUGCACAAUGGGCGCAAGCCUGAUGCAGCCAUGCCGCGUGUAUGAAGAAGGCCUUCGGGUUGUAAAGUACUUUCAGCGGGGAGGAAGGGAGUAAAGUUAAUACCUUUGCUCAUUGACGUUACCCGCAGAAGAAGCACCGGCUAACUCCGUGCCAGCCGCCGCCGUAA
rnacentral:rRNA from 1 species